rnacentral:RNase_P_RNA from 1 species
UCAGACGGCCGGACGGCCGCCCUUGGGACUUCGUGUCCUGGGGGAGGAAAGUCCGGGCUCCACGGAAUACACGGUGCCGGAUAACGUCCGGCGGGGGCGACCCCAGGGAAAGUGCCACAGAAAGCAAACCGCCCGCUCCCAGACCGCAAGGUCCGGCAGCUGGUAAGGGUGAAAGGGUGCGGUAAGAGCGCACCGCGCUUCCGGCAACGGCAAGCGGCACGGUAAACCCCACCGGGAGCAAGACCAAAUAGGGACGGCACUGUUCUUCCCACGGGAAGGACGAAACGCGUUUCCGCGUCGCCGUCCGGGUCGGUCGCGAGAGGCGUCCGGUAACGGACGUCCCAGAUGAAUGGCCGUCACCCGCCUUCGGGAGGGGACAGAACCCGGCUUACAGGCCGUCUGACGCU